GUGAAUCAUCAAAUCUUUGAACGCAAAUUGCACUCUCCUCGGAGAGUAUGCCUGUUUGAGGGUCAGCCUAUAAAAAAUCGACAUCGUUGCUGUUUCGCGGUGACGUUCGUCGGAAAUUGGGUCAUCUUAAAUCCUUUUGGUUUUAAGCGACUUAAAAUUGACUUUUUUUGCGCAUUUUAGAUGUACAUAAAUUCUUUUUUUUAUUCGUCUGUCUUAAUGCUCAAAAUCCUAUUAGAUGCAACCAUAUCGUGUGGUUUCGCGUCUAUAAAUUUUUCAUGAUUUGACCUCAAAUCAGGUAGGA
rnacentral:misc_RNA from 1 species